GACAGCCUUCGCCUAUUGGAACCACUACCUCAGCUGUGCAUCCCCGUGCCCGGGUUACCGCCUUCUCUGCCGCCUCAACUUCAGUCUCAAUGUGGUGGAGAACCUGGCACUGCUCGUGCUCACCUAUGUCUCCUCCUCCGAGGACUUCACCAUCCAUGAAAAUGCUUUCAUUGUGUUUAUCGCGGCCUCCCUCAGUUACAUGCUCCUCACCUGCAUUCUCUGGCGGCUGACCAAGAAGCACACAGUAAGUCAGGAGGAUCGCAAGUCCUACAGCUGGAAACAACGGCUCUUCAUCAUCAACUUCAUCUCCUUCUUCUCGGCGCUGGCUGUUUACUUCCGGCACAACAUGUAUUGUGAGGCUGGAGUGUACACCAUCUUUGCCAUCCUGGAGUACACUGUGGUCCUAACCAACAUGGCGUUCCACAUGACAGCCUGGUGGGACUUCGGGAACAAAGAGCUGCUAAUAACCUCUCAGCCUGAGGAAAAGAGAUUCUAAACCCCGUCUCUGAUCCUGGAAAACAAGAAACCACUCUGGCCUUCCCUAUCUCAGUGUCCUCUCUGGGCCCUUCUCCGUCUGGGGACUGGGAGAGAAGAGCAGGAAGGGUAGGACAAGGCUGACCCCAGCACUGCUGACUUCUCCCCACCUCUCAUCUCUCAUGGGGAUCUUCAAGAAGCAUCACUACUCACUGAAAGGUCCUAAAAAGCUGAGCUGGCAGGAAAGCCCUACCACUUGGUGCUAAGAAAAAAAAAAAAAAAAAA
rnacentral:lncRNA from 1 species